CUCAGCCUCCCAAAGUGCUGGGAUUAUAGGCAUGAGUUGCCAUGCCCAGCCAGUUACUAUUUUAUUUGAAGUCACAGUGUGUCUCAGGUAUACAUUAAAAUUCACUAUCUUCUGGAAUUUUAAAAAUCAAGUUUAACUAGUUAUAACUUCCUACUGUAGAGCAGAUCUGUCUCAAGCUCAGUUCAACCAUGUGCCUAUUACUGGUGUUACCAGUGACAAUGUUUUCAUACACAUUCUCAUCUUUGGCAUGUAAGUACUACAGUUCUAGGGUAGUCUCAAGCUCAGUUCAACCAUGUGCCUAUUACUGGUGUUACCAGUGACAAUGUUUUCAUACACAUUCUCAUCUUUGGCAUGUAAGUACUACAGUUGUUCUAGGGUAGCUUUAGAUUUCCUACACUAAAAGGGGAGAAAAGAAACUCUAAAAUACAAACUCAGGCCAGGUGUGGUGGCCCACC
rnacentral:lncRNA from 10 species